CCUACGGGUGGCAGCAGUGGGGAAUAUUGGACAAUGGGCGCAAGCCUGAUCCAGCAAUACCGCGUGUGUGAAGAAGGCCUUAGGGUUGUAAAGCACUUUCAAUUGGGAGGAAAACCUGCCGGUCAAUACCCGGUAGCUUGACAUUACCUUUAGAAGAAGCACCGGCUAACUCCGUGCCAGCAGCCGCGGUAAUACGGAGGGUGCGAGCGUUAAUCGGAAUUACUGGGCGUAAAGCGUGCGUAGGCGGUUCGUUAAGUCAGAUGUGAAAGCCCUGGGCUCAACCUGGGAACGGCAUUUGAAACUGGCAGACUAGAGUUUAAGAGAGGGGAGUGGAAUUUCAGGUGUAGCGGUGAAAUGCGUAGAGAUCUGAAGGAACACCAGUGGCGAAGGCGACUCCCUGGCUUAAAACUGACGCUGAGGUACGAAAGCGUGGGUAGCAAACAGGAUUAGAUACCCCUGUAGU
rnacentral:rRNA from 1 species